rnacentral:tRNA from 1 species
GCGGAAGUAGCUCAGUUGGUAGAGCGUCAGCCUUCCAAGCUGAAUGUCGCCGGUUCGAACCCGGUCUUCCGCUCAA